CGUUGAGGAGAAUGCAGCCAGCUCAGGGCAAAUUAGAGCCAGGCAGGAAGAAGACCUCCUUGAGAAGAAGAUGGGUGAGUGAAGGCAACAAGUAAUUGACACGGAUCGAGCAUCUACACCGGGUACCUUUGUGUGGCUCUCUUGGGGCUUGUGGCUGUCUGUAGGGGAGCCCAGCAAGCAA
rnacentral:lncRNA from 1 species